GACGUGGUGGCUCAAUGGUAGAGUUUUCGAUUCCAAAUCGAACGGUUGCUGGUUCGAUUCCUGUCCAUGUCA